ACAAUUAUUUCUUAAGCCCAAAAAGUUUAUACACAUAUACAUAUUCUUGGAUUUGCAUUUUUUUAGCUUCUUUUUUUGUGAAUUUUAUUUCUCUCUUCUUUUGGUGAUAAAAGUAAUUUAAACACCAACAUUUAUUAUUACAAAUUGUAAUUAAUUACUGUUGUAGAUAUAAAACAUAAUGGCAUUUCAAGUAUUUUUUGUUAUUGUGUAUUUAAAUAAAUCCACUUGAUGUUGGGGCAAAAUCAAGCAAAAUGUUCACAUUCUGUAGAAUUUUUGUCAAAUUAUAAUCCUUAUUUCAUUUGGCUCCUAUAAAGUAAUUUCAUUUCCUGAUAUCCAACAAAAUUUCCAUUCAAGUUCACUGGCAAUAAUUUUUAUUUUGAUGUUAGAUGAGAAUUUGUAUAUACUGUAGCAACAGCAUUUCUAGAUAGAAACUCAAUUUAUUUUACAUGUGAAAUUAAUUUAUCAGCAAUAAAUCUUUGUGUUUGCAGUAGAUUUGUAGAAAAAUUAGUCAAUAGGACCAGAAUUUUCAGAUAUGGACUCGGCAACCAUUUGAAUGCAGAAUCUCCCAGCACUAUUUUUUGUGCAAUACUGCCAAUUCAUAAAAUCUCUAAAUGCUCAGGUGAACUUGCAUCAAUAUUAACUUUUUUAAAAAGUACUUGCAACGCAGAUACAAAAUUACAGUAUAUUAUAUGCAUGCCUUAUUUACUGUUGCUUUGAUUAUUUUUUAUUUUUGUUUAUUGAAACAUUUAAUGAUAUCACAUGAAGACCUACCAAUGUGAAUAAAUACAUUGUCAAAUUCAAACCACAUUAAACUGUUUCAAUGCU
rnacentral:sRNA from 1 species